GUGCACCAGUCGAGAAUCCUCCGCAAUACACGAAAGCGUGACGGGGCCAUCCCGAGUGCCGUCCGCUGAGGACGGCUUUUCCCCAGUGUACACAGCUGGGGAAUAAGGAGAGGGCAAGCCUGGUGUCAGCCGCCGCGGUAAAACCAGCUCCUCGAGUGGUCGGGGUGAUUGGGCCUAAAGCGUCCGUAGCCGGCCCCGUAAGUCCUCGGUUAAAUCCUACGGGCCUAACCGUGGGACUGCCGAGGAUACUGCGGGGCUUGGGGGCGGGAGAGGCCGGGGGUACUCCCGGGGUAGGGGGUGGAAAUCCUGUAAUCCCGGGGGGACCGACCAGUGGCGAAGGCGCCCGGCUGGAACGCGCCCGACGGUGAGGGACGAAAGCCAGGGGAGCGAACCGGAUUAGAUACCCGGGUAGU
rnacentral:rRNA from 1 species